UUAACUGAAUCCAUAGGUUAAUGAGGCGAACCGGGGGAACUGAAACAUCUAAGUACCCCGAGGAAAAGAAAUCAACCGAGAUUCCCCCAGUAGCGGCGAGCGAACGGGGAGCAGCCCAGAGCCUGAAUCAGUAUGUGUGUUAGUGGAAGCGUCUGGAAAGGCGCGCGAUACAGGGUGACAGCCCCGUACACAAAAAUGCACAUGCUGUGAGCUCGAUGAGUAGGGCGGGACACGUGGUAUCCUGUCUGAAUAUGGGGGGACCAUCCUCCAAGGCUAAAUACUCCUGACUGACCGAUAGUGAACCAGUACCGUGAGGGAAAGGCGAAAAGAACCCCGGCGAGGGGAGUGAAAAAGAACCUGAAACCGUGUACGUACAAGCAGUGGGAGCACGCUUAGGCGUGUGACUGCGUACCUUUUGUAUAAUGGGUCAGCGACUUAUAUUCUGUAGCAAGGUUAACCGAAUAGGGGAGCCGAAGGGAAACCGAGUCUUAACUGGGCGUUAAGUUGCAGGGUAUAGACCCGAAACCCGGUGAUCUAGCCAUGGGCAGGUUGAAGGUUGGGUAACACUAACUGGAGGACCGAACCGACUAAUGUUGAAAAAUUAGCGGAUGACUUGUGGCUGGGGGUGAAAGGCCAAUCAAACCGGGAGAUAGCUGGUUCUCCCCGAAAGCUAUUUAGGUAGCGCCUCGUGAAUUCAUCUCCGGGGGUAGAGCACUGUUUCGGCAAGGGGGUCAUCCCGACUUACCAACCCGAUGCAAACUGCGAAUACCGGAGAAUGUUAUCACGGGAGACACACGGCGGGUGCUAACGUCCGUCGUGAAGAGGGAAACAACCCAGACCGCCAGCUAAGGUCCCAAAGUCAUGGUUAAGUGGGAAACGAUGUGGGAAGGCCCAGACAGCCAGGAUGUUGGCUUAGAAGCAGCCAUCAUUUAAAGAAAGCGUAAUAGCUCACUGGUCGAGUCGGCCUGCGCGGAAGAUGUAACGGGGCUAAACCAUGCACCGAAGCUGCGGCAGCGACGCUGAUGCGUUGUUGGGUAGGGGAGCGUUCUGUAAGCCUGCGAAGGUGUGCUGUGAGGCAUGCUGGAGGUAUCAGAAGUGCGAAUGCUGACAUAAGUAACGAUAAAGCGGGUGAAAAGCCCGCUCGCCGGAAGACCAAGGGUUCCUGUCCAACGUUAAUCGGGGCAGGGUGAGUCGACCCCUAAGGCGAGGCCGAAAGGCGUAGUCGAUGGGAAACAGGUUAAUAUUCCUGUACUUGGUGUUACUGCGAAGGGGGGACGGAGAAGGCUAUGUUGGCCGGGCGACGGUUGUCCCGGUUUAAGCGUGUAGGCUGGUUUUCCAGGCAAAUCCGGAAAAUCAAGGCUGAGGCGUGAUGACGAGGCACUGCGGUGCUGAAGCAACAAAUGCCCUGCUUCCAGGAAAAGCCUCUAAGCAUCAGGUAACAUCAAAUCGUACCCCAAACCGACACAGGUGGUCAGGUAGAGAAUACCAAGGCGCUUGAGAGAACUCGGGUGAAGGAACUAGGCAAAAUGGUGCCGUAACUUCGGGAGAAGGCACGCUGAUAUGUAGGUGAAGUCCCUCGCGGAUGGAGCUGAAAUCAGUCGAAGAUACCAGCUGGCUGCAACUGUUUAUUAAAAACACAGCACUGUGCAAACACGAAAGUGGACGUAUACGGUGUGACGCCUGCCCGGUGCCGGAAGGUUAAUUGAUGGGGU
rnacentral:rRNA from 1 species